AAGUGCUGAAAUGUGGUGGGCUGAUCAACAGUGAAGUAGAUGAAACCAACCGGAACGGAGGGACUGGACUGGACUGAGGAGAAGUGAUAUUAUUGAAAAUAACCAUUGACAGAAGCAGCAAAGUCAAUUUUCCUUAUCUGGCUUUGAUAUCAGGGUAAGGCUGGCCUCAUAAAAUGAAUUGGCAGAAGAACACAGAGAUAUCCUGAUUCCUGGC